UCCUGCUGUUUGCCGUCUUGGACUUGCUCAGAUUUGCAAGCUCCUCGAUCAACUUCUUUUCUUCACUGCUUAACCUCUUCGGGAUCUCCACCUGCACGCGAACCAACUGAUCUCCCCUGGUGUUUGCCUUUCCGAGGUAAGGAACCCCCUUCUUAGCCAUUACCAGAGUUGUACCUGGCUGUGUCCCAGCUGGAAUUUUUAGAUCCACCAAUCCAUCCACUGUUGGGACCUUCAUAGUGGUUCCUAAGAUGGCAUCAAUGUACGAUACCUUGCACGUAUAAAGAAUGUUGGUUCCAUCCCUCUUAAGCACAGGAUCCGAGAGAACUUCGAUAAACACAUAGAGGUCUCCAGGAGGGCCACCUCUCCUUCCAGCAUUCCCCUCAGACCGGACCCUCAGCCGGCUACCAGAGUCAACUCCAGCUGGAACUUUAAGACUAAUCCUCUUUGUCUUCCUCACACGGCCAUCCCC
rnacentral:lncRNA from 1 species